GGUGGCGUGUCCGAGUGGCCUAAGGAGCACGACUCGAAAUCGUGUGUGGGUUAACAGCCCACCGUGGGUUCAAAUCCCACCGCCACCG
rnacentral:tRNA from 1 species